rnacentral:rRNA from 1 species
UACUCCUACGGGAGGCAGCAGUGGGGAAUAUUGGACAAUGGGCGCAAGCCUGAUCCAGCCAGCCGCGUGGGUGAAGAAGGCCUUAGGGUUGUAAACCCCUUUCAGCGGGGAAGAUAAUGACGGUACCCGCAGAAGAAGUCCCGGCUAACUCCGUGCCAGCAGCCGCGGUAAU